UACGUAGGGUGCAAGCGUUGUCCGGAAUUAUUGGGCGUAAAGAGCUCGUAGGCGGUUUGUCGCGUCGGCUGUGAAACCUCGGGGCUCAACCCCGAGCCUGCAGUCGAUACGGGCAAACUAGAGUGUGGUAGGGGAGACUGGAAUUCCUGGUGUAGCGGUGAAAUGCGCAGAUAUCAGGAGGAACACCAAUGGCGAAGGCAGCUCGCUGGAACGGUACUGACGCUGAGGCGCGAAAGCGUGGGGAGCGAACAGG
rnacentral:rRNA from 1 species